AUCGUAGAAGGGUCAGGCUUGGUAGAACCUACCGGUCUGCAAUAAAGAUAAUUGGAAUAUGAUCCAAAGUUUCAACGAAUAAUAGCAAAGGGAGCAAAGUGCUGAGAUAGUAUGGUAUCUCUUCAAAAUACGUACAACCAUGGCAUUUUGAUCAAAACUGCAAACAGCGUUACACAGCUUCAACCAUCCAGGCAUCCCAACGCAAUCCCGCCGGAUGACAAGGAGCGGGGUUAGAGGACAGGUGCUACUGACGCCUUUGAUCUCGCCCGAGUUACACGCUUUGGAGCAUCGCGCACGAAAAAGGGAAUUAUCGAAAUUCUCCGACUGCUCCCUCGCUCUCCAACCUCCUAACGGGAGGUUCCCUAUCCCUCCGGUUUCCAACCUCUAUUCCUCCCUCCUCAACACCGCGCAAUCAUCAUCCUCUCCAUUCCCUUCAUUCCUUCUUUCUCUCUUACCUCCCUGCAUAUUCUUCAUCCAAUGCAACAACCAGACACCUGAGGCAUUGCUUUCUUUUUUCAAAUGAGUAUUUUUUUUUUCUUUUUUUUUCAGGAAAAAUUCACUCAGAUUGUGGCUAUCUCAUCCCAUAUGCUGCCCAAGAUAUACAUUUAUACUUCAGGCAAUACACAUCCCUUAACCAAAUAUCAGUGAAUUGGCAAGGAUAUUUAAAUAGAGUAACUAAAAGAGCAUUGCCAAAGCGUAUGGACUAUUCAGGCUGAUUACUCUCUGGUUCCAGUAUGGCUAAUAGACACAGAUAGUCUCUAAGACUAUAUCAAGGGAAAUACUAAACGCAGACUCCCAAUGGACCUGAAAGCUGUUGACGACAAAUCGAGGGUUAAAAUACUAUCGGUAAAUAGUCGAGUAAAGUGUAGGGUGAUGUCUAUCAUAGGAUAGGGACUCACCCAGGGAUUAUAACCCUAAUUUCAACCGUGUCCACAUACCAUAGAGACAACCUCGGGGUAACUCCAGUUCAAUCUUUCAAAUCUGCCUACUAAAGACGGAACAGGAAGUGAGAAUAACGUAUAUACGAUUAGAAAUUUCACAGGAACGAAGAUUCCCGAUGAUUCAUGAACUCAAAAAAUACCUCGUUGUAAACUUAAUAGGCACUCUCCUCGGUUAUUAACGAAAAAAGACUACGGACAAGGAAUCCCUCUUCUUUUCAAACGUUCAUAAAUCAUACUUCGCAGCCAGAUAAAUGCCUCUUAAUUUCGUCAGUGCUUUGGAGAACGAUCAUGGAACGGAGGCCUUUACGAAGACUACACAGUGUCGAUUAUGCCGAUUCUCUCGUCCAAUCCUAAAUCAUAGUAGAGGCAAUCCGCCAAUAGAUGGAUUGACUUUGAGACGUGAACAUCCUGAGACCUCGAGAUGCCGGGAUGCUGAGACGUCUCUGAAAUUCCCGGACACGCUCCUUUCCCGAUACCAAACUCUCAGCCAAAGGUGAGCCACGCCAAAGUGAAGGGUUCAACUCACAGGGAGAAAGAGAAAGAGAAAGAGAGAGGUUAGCAGUUAGCAGGACUAGACUUUCGUGCUUCUCGGCUCCUAAAACUGUAGGGCACGAUAAUUGUGAGAACAAUGCUUCUUCAGACAAUUUCGGGCUAAACUAUUUCUCGGUUCGCCGUACCUCCGAAUUCCUUCAUCACAUGUCGCGUGCAUCAAUGCGUGAGAAUAGCGUGUCCCACUCGACACGAACCUGAUAUCUAUAGGUACCAAAGUGCAUAGUUGGAUGCACUACCGUUACAUCAUUAAGCCAAUGGAGUGUAUGUACCAUGGGACUUUGCAGAAUCUUUCUUCAGAGAAUUUGACAAUUCUCAGCUUGACCUCAGCGAAUAUCGGUAACGAAAGGAGAGCGAUCGACGUCCGUGAGAGAAAUUCGCACAAAAGUCAAAGGAAAAAUUCGACCGGCUCUAAAUGCAACCCUAAAAUUUUGAACUGACGGCCAAAAGAAUGUAUAAUUAGGAGGCAUAAAAGUAACCAUCGCCCACUCAAAGCACUUGCUGUGUUAUACCGUUGUGGGUCGUCGCACCCACAACUGCAGGUUCCCGUCGAUCUCUGAAAGUUCGAGAUGUUCGGCAAUUUUUCUUUAUUCUUUUUUCUUUUACUUUCGUUUCUUUUCUUCCCUUCUGAGACAAUUACGAUGAGUGCCAGGUUCCCUGCCAUUAAAGUAUCGCUAAUCGUUCCGGGUUAUACUCCAUCGACAUUUGCAAAAAUCAUUGUAAAAAAAGUCAGAUGAAAUCAUUACAGUAGACCCAUAUGUAUUGUCGUUGAUUAAACUUGAAAUAUUCUUUUGAAUCUUAUCAUUCGUGUAUCGGUAAUCGUUAAUGUAUUCUGGGUUCAAUCCAAUUUUCACUUUUUCCCUAAAUUUCUCAUUGCCAAUCAAAAUAUCAUUGGUAUCAAGAUCCAAAUGAACAUUCAUACGCAAUUGCAUAGCUAACGAUAGCAAAACUGAUCCUCCUACCCACCAUCUGUCAUUUCUGAUCGUUAACUUGGUUAGCACACGCAUAUCAAAUCGAGCAGGGCGAAGCUUAGCGCGGAACAGCCAGUCGGCUAAUGCGAUUUGGAUAUAUGGAGAGUCCUGUGGGAUAUUUCGGGUGUACGAUGCCCCCAUUGCGUCCUGAGACGCGAUAAAUACUAUGCAUAUGUAAAUAUUACAACGAGCAUAUCAAAUUGGUUACAAAAACGUUCUACUGUAUCAAGCGGAGAAUCUAAGAUAUUCAAACAAAAGUUUGGAUCGCGAGGGAAGUCUGUACAAGAGUUGGAAAGAAUGCUGCUUUGUAAUUAUUUGAGAAAAUUCAGUAUACAAGACGAAUCACUUAGACGAACACAAACGCGUGAAACCUUUUCUCACGCUCAGGAUUCUACGCAUUAGUGGUGGCAAUCUAGUCCCGUUAACAGGAUCAGGACUUGCGAGAAACGAAGGGUUCUCUACUCGUUAUAUUGGCAAACCGUCUAUUCAGGGUCGAUCCUCGGGGACGGGAUUUCAGUUACUUAGGAAGAAUUGCCACAAAGAGACGAACCUAUUGUGAACAUUGUUGUUGCGACGAAUUCUACUAUGAUCCAGUAAGGUUGUUUAUCUUUACAGACCCAAUAAGCCACAGGCGUAUAACUGUGUACCAAUCGUAUAUGUACUCUUGAAAUUCUAUAAAUGUGCAAUAAUAAUUUUGUACUAUCGUAAUUCAUAAAUUGUACUUUUUAC